UUUCUCUGGGAACCUCAGUUCUGUAGGCGCGGUUCGGCUUGCGAUGGUCCCAGGGGUUCGUCGCUCCGCAGGUUCUUCGACUUUUGAAGAAUCGGAAUAGGGAGCUUUGAUAAUAAAUUUUUAAAUGGGGGUUAACAGCGUUUGAGUGGCUUUACUAGUGCUCAGGUCUGCUGUCUCGCAGUGCGGUUGUUUGCCUUUGUGUGAGAUGCUGACCUCCAACUCCUCUUGUAGCUGAGGAAGGAGGCCUUCAACUCCUGAUCUUUCUGCCUCCGUCUCCCCAAAACUAGGAUUACAGGUGUGCAUCAUCACUCCUAUUGCUUUAUAUAUCUUUGUUUUCUGCUGGUUGAGCCAAUAGGUCUUUUGCAAAGGAUGGCUGAUCUGAGUUUCGUAUCAGAGGCAGUGUGUAGCAAUUUGGGUAUGUUAGCUGAGAGGGAAACAAGUUGCAGAGACAAAGUUCAAGACAUCCUAAAGGGAAAACUUUAUUACCACGAGGACCACGAACCCUACUUUCAACUAACCUAUUACACGUUUGUGUUAUCUCAGGAUUAGUUAUGUGAAUGCAGUCAUUCUUGGGUUUUGCCUAGUUACCAUACUUGGUAGAAUCCAUACUAUCUGUGUGUGCACGUGGAUGUGUGUAUAUGUCUUCACCAUUUCUUCCUUUGGUAGACUAUCUAUCUACUCAAUAUUUCCCAUAUUCUAAUGAUCAGCAGUUGUUCUACAGAUCCUGGAUCACAUAGAGGAAAACAAACCGUGGGCCAGUCAGACUCCUGCGAACUGGCAUCUGGAAAUAGAAGUUAGUUGAAAUCAAAAGCUCUAAGAGCCAGUCGAUGCCAUCUGUAUUCCCAGAGUUUUUGGAUUCCUAGACUAUAUUGCCUAUCCAAUAAACUAUUCAGUCUUUCCUCUUUCUCCCUCCCUCGCCCAUCCCCCUCCCCUCAUCCCUGUCUUUAAAAACAAACAAACAAAACCACCCCCUCUCA
rnacentral:lncRNA from 1 species